rnacentral:rRNA from 1 species
CAAUGGGCGAAAGCCUGACCCAGCAACGCCGCGUGUGUGAUGAAGGCCUUCGGGUCGUAAAGCACUUUUCUGGGAGAUGAGAAAGGACAGUAUCCCAGGAAUAAGUCUCGGCUAACUACGUGCCAGCAGCCGCGGUAAAACGUAGGAGGCGAGCGUUAUCCGGAUUCACUGGGCGUAAAGCGCGUGCAGGUGGCGCGGUAAGUUGGGCGUAGAAAUCUCCCGGCUCAACUGGGAGAGGUCGUCCAAUACUACCGUGCUUGAGAGCAGAAGAGGAAGAUGGAAUUCCCGGUGUAGUGGUGAAAUGCGUAGAUAUCGGGAGGAACACCAGUGGCGAAGGCGAUCUUCUGGUCUGUUUCUGACACUCAGACGCGACAGCUAGGGUAGUAAACGGGAUUAGAGACCCCGGUAAUCCUAGCCGUAAACGAUGUGAACUUGGCGUUGGUGGGUUAAACUCCAUCAGUGCCGUAGCAAACGCGAUAAGUUCACCGCCUGGGGACUACGGCCGCAAGGUUA